GACGAACGCUGGCGGCGUGCUUAACACAUGCAAGUCGAACGGAAAGGCCCUGCUUUUGUGGGGUGCUCGAGUGGCGAACGGGUGAGUAACACGUGAGUAACCUGCCCUUGACUUUGGGAUAACUUCAGGAAACUGGGGCUAAUACCGGAUAGGAGCUCCUGCUGCAUGGUGGGGGUUGGAAAGUUUCGGCGGUUGGGGAUGGACUCGCGGCUUAUCAGCUUGUUGGUGGGGUAGUGGCUUACCAAGGCUUUGACGGGUAGCCGGCCUGAGAGGGUGACCGGCCACAUUGGGACUGAGAUACGGCCCAGACUCCUACGGGAGGCAGCAGUGGGGAAUAUUGCACAAUGGGCGGAAGCCUGAUGCAGCAACGCCGCGUGCGGGAUAACGGCCUUCGGGUUGUAAACCGCUUUCGCCUGCGACGAAGCGUGAGUGACGGUAAUGGGUAAAGAAGCACCGGCUAACUACGUG
rnacentral:rRNA from 1 species